rnacentral:piRNA from 1 species
UUGGCAUUGUCUGUCCAUGUGCUGAUC